rnacentral:rRNA from 1 species
UACGUAGGGUGCAAGCGUUGUCCGGAAUUAUUGGGCGUAAAGAGCUCGUAGGCGGUCUGUCGCGUCUGCUGUGAAACUCAGGGCUUAACCCUGAGCUUGCAGUGGGUACGGGCAGACUAGAGUGCGGUAGGGGAGACUGGAAUUCCUGGUGUAGCGGUGAAAUGCGCAGGAGUAUCAGGAGGAACACCGGUGGCGAAGGCGGGUCUCUGGGCCGUA